rnacentral:rRNA from 1 species
CCUANGGGAGGCAGCAGUGGGGAAUUUUGGACAAUGGGCGAAAGCCUGAUCCAGCGACGCCGCGUGGAGGACGAAGGUUUUCGGAUCGUAAACUCCUUUUACAGGGGACGAAAGCCCGCAAGGGUUUGACAGUACUCUGUGAAUAAGCCACGGCUAACUACGUGCCAGCAGCCGCGGUAAUACGUAGGUGGCGAGCGUUACUCGGAUUUACUAGGCGUAAAGCGCGUGUAGGCGGGAGCCUAAGUCUGUCGUUAAAUCCCAGAGCUUAACUCUGGACUGUCGGCGGAUACUGGGUUUCUUGAAUAAGGUAGGGGAAACUGGAAUUGCAGGUGUAGCGGUGAAAUGCGUAGAUAUCUGGAAGAACGCCAAAGGCGAAGGCAGGUUUCUGGGCCUUUAUUGACGCUGAGACGCGAAAGCUAGGGGAGCAAACAGGAUUAGAUACCCUUNUANUC